rnacentral:lncRNA from 1 species
AAAAAAAUCUCCUUCAAUUUUUCUCUUUCUUUUUGGUUUUUAAGCAUCAUGGGUGGCAAUGUAAAGCGUGAGAUUCCUGAGCCGUUACCUAAUCGACUAAAGGCCGCCGUUUCCGGCGUUCCUCCCGCGGUAAUCGAACUCAGUAGCAGCAGUGAAAGUAGCAGCGGCAGCGGGAGUGAGUCGGAAUCCGAGAUGGAUGGAAACAGUGUCAUCUCUAAGAGACCGAGGGGUUCUAGUGGUGUUAAUGGAGG